rnacentral:rRNA from 1 species
GAUGAACGCUGACAGAAUGCUUAACACAUGCAAGUCAUUGGCGAAGCUGCGCUUGCGCAGUCUAGCCAAGGCGGACGGGUGAGUAACGCGUAAGGAACUUGCCCUGCAGACAGGGAUAACAGACGGAAACGACUGAUAACACCUGGUAUUGUCAGGCUGGCGCAUGCCGGCCUGAUGAAAGGAGACGCUGCAGGAGAGCCUUGCGUCCUAUUAGCUAGUUGGUGGGGUAACGGCCCACCAAGGCGAUGAUAGGUAGCCGGCCUGAGAGGGUGAACGGCCACAAGGGGACUGAGAUACGGCCCUGACUCCUACGGGAGGCAGCAGUGGGGAAUAUUGGACAAUGGGGGCAACCCUGAUCCAGCAAUUCUGUGUGCACGAAGAAGGUUUUCGGAGUGUAAAGUGCUUUCAGCAGGGAAGAAGAAAGUGACGGUACCUGCAGAAGAAGCGACGGCUAAAUACGUG